rnacentral:rRNA from 1 species
CCGCGGUAAAACCGGUUACUCCUACGGGAGGCAGCAGUGGGGAAUCUUGCACAAUGGGCGAAAGCCUGAUGCAGCGACGCCGCGUGGGGGAUGAAGCAUUUCGGUGUGUAAACCCCUUUCGACUGGGACGCGGUACCAGUAGAAGAAGCCCCGGCUAACUAC